AUUGAACGCUGGCGGCAGGCCUCACACAUGCAAGUCGAACGCGUGGCGGACGGGUGAGUAAUGUCUGGGAAACUGCCUGAAGGAGGGGGAUACCUACUGGAAACGGUAGCUAAUACAGCAUACCAUCAGAUGUGCCCAGAUGUGAUUAGCUAGUUGGUGGGGUAACGGCUCACCAAGGAGACGAUCCCUAGCUAGUCUGAGAGGAUGACCAGACACACUGGAACUGAGACACGGUCCAGACCCCUACGGGAGGCAGCAGGGGGAAAUAUUGCACAAUGGGCGCAAGCCUGAUGCAGCCAUGCCGCGUGUAUGAAGAAGGCCUUCGGGUUGUAAAGUACGUUCAUCGGGGAGGCGUUACCCGCAGAAGAAGCACCGGCUAACUCCGUGCCAGCAGCCGCGGUAAUUC
rnacentral:rRNA from 1 species